AUGACUGAUCAUUCAUGGAUGUACACCGGUCACACUAGUCGGAAAGACAUGACCAUCGAAUGGUUAACAAAAACCAAGGGGUUUCUAAGAGCCGCAUUUGCAAAUGGCCAUAGGACAACGUGGUGCCCCUGUGCCGGGUGCAACAAUUGGCACAAGAGGACAGAGGAUGGAAUGGGCAAACACUUGCAGAAGAGGGGUUUUACGCCAGAUUAUACGGUGUGGACAUUUCAUGGCAAGUCUGCCCAACGUGCCAUAGCUGAGGUGCUUCGUCGUCGCACCUACGAGUAUGGUACCGGGAUGGAAGACAUGGUAAAAGACUUUGAUGAUGCUCGGGACUCGGACGAUGAGAUGGAGGAAUCUGCAAAGGACUUCAAUGAAAUGUUGGAGUCUUCAAAACGUCCUCUCCAUGAGCACACUGAGCUUUGUCACCUGGAUGCCAUCUCACAAAUAAUGGAUCUGAAGGCUCAACUCAACUUGGGCAGAGAAUGCUACGAUGCAAUGAUGAUAGUAUUUUGA
rnacentral:rRNA from 1 species